rnacentral:rRNA from 1 species
UACGUAGGCAGCGAGCGUUGUUCGGAAUUACUGGGCGUAAAGAGUGUGUAGGCGGUGCUCUAAGUUCGGUGUGAAAUCUCCUGGCUUAACUGGGAGGGUGCGCCGGAAACUGGGGUGCUCGAGUGUGGGAGAGGAAAGCGGAAUUCCUGGUGUAGCGGUGAAAUGCGUAGAUAUCGUAAGGAAGACCAGUGGCGAAGGCGGG